rnacentral:tRNA from 1 species
AAGGAGACCUGCUUUUCUGGAAAAAAACCCCAAAAAUUCAACCAGAAAAGACAAGGAAGGUCGUGCGAGGCAUAAAAAAGGCUUUCAAACUAUUGAAUGGUUCGCAACGGGCUAUUAGCUCAGGUGGUUAGAGCGCACCCCUGAUAAGGGUGAGGUCCCUGGUUCAAGUCCAGGAUGGCCCACUCAACCUUAAAGUGAGGGGGUAUAGCUCAGUUGGUAGAGCGCUGCCUUUGCACGGCAGAAGUCAGCGGUUCGAGUCCGCUUACCUCCAGGAAACUGCCAAAAUUUUCAGCACUUCAAUGUGAAUUGUUCACAGUGAAAAUGCUGGCAAUAAACCAGUAAUGAACCUUGAAAACUGCAUAGUAACAGAAAAUAGUGGGGAUGAAGACCGCCAUCAAAAGCGGGAUUUAUCAAACACAAGACAAUCUAAGUAUUCA